rnacentral:rRNA from 1 species
GGCAGCCGCCGCGGGAACACCGGCGGCCCGAGUGGUGAUCGUGAUUAUUGGGUCUAAAGGGUCCGUAGCCGGUUUGGUCAGUCCUCCGGGAAAAUCUGAUAGCUCAACUAUUAGGCGUUUCGGGGGAUACUGCCAGACUUGGAACCGGGAGAGGUAAGAGGUACUACAGGGGUAGGAGUGAAAUCUUGUAAUCCCUGUGGGACCACCUGUGGCGAAGGCGUCUUACCAGAACGGGUUCGACGGUGAGGGACGAAAGCGUGGGGGCACGAACCGGAUUAGAUACCCGGGUAGUCCCAGCCGUAAACGAUGCUCGCUAGGUGUCAGGCAUGGCGCGACCGUGUCUGGUGCCGCAGGGAAGCCGUGAAGCGAGCCACCUGGGAAGUACGGCCGCAAGGCUGAAACUUAAAGGAAUUGGCGGGGGAGCACAACAACGGGUGGAACGCCUGCGUUUAAUUGGACUCAACGCCGGACAACUCACCGGGGCGACAGCAAUAUGUAGGCCAAGCUGAAGACUUCGCCUGAAUCGCUGAGAGGUGGUGCAUGG